CAGAGCUAGCAGCAGCCGGUGAUUCCAGC
rnacentral:piRNA from 1 species